rnacentral:misc_RNA from 1 species
CGCACCUUGCACUCUGUUCUGCAGAGUAUGCCUGUUUGAGAAUCUACAGUAUUUUCCAUUUGGAGAUUUGGGUCGUGUUGACAAACUGACCUUGAAGAUAUGACUGCGAGUUGUUUAUAUGACGACGUACAGAACAGAGAGAUGAAGGGUUCGCCCACUUCCUUUGAACUAUACUAGUAAGACGACUUGUAGAGGGAAGGGGGGAGGAUGGGUUAGGGUUGUAAUUGAUUAUAAACCAACACAUUCCCUCUCCAACCAUCAAUUUCUUGGUCUCAAAUCAGGUAGGAAGACCCGCUGAACUUAA